CUCUCAUUCUCCAGCUCUCUCUCUUUUUUUCUUUUUUCUUUUUUCUUUUUUACUUGAUUCCAGAGGGCAUUUGUAUAAAAAUGCCAUAAGUCCACUCUUCUCUCCACAAUUUUCCUCCUGAUUUGGGAGGAUGAGAUUUGUGGGCCCGGGAGAGAAAAUUUUCUCCCAGAUUUUUCAUCCUCAGUAUUUUUCUUCUUUUACCAAACAAUGAAAAACACUUUUUCACCCACUUUUCCUCCAUAUGUUUUCUAUCCUCCCUUAAAUCACCACCACCAAACCAAACAUAGGAUAAGUAAAAUUGUUAAGUGUAAUAUGGAAGGAAUAUAAGGGCUAAGUGGUAAAACAACGAAUAAGUUCUCUUUUUCAGUUCUUGAACCACCUCGCUCUCUUUCCAUCAAGAAUAGAACACCAUACCAAUGGAGGUCAAAUUCGGUUUCAAUGGGUUGUAAAGGUGUUGCGAGUACCCAGGUUUGAGCUUUUUCAAGUUAGGUUCUCAUCUCUGCUACUAUGAGUAGGUUGAUUUGUAAUUUGGUUGAAGUUCAAGUACUGAAAAUUGAAGUUUCUGCAAGGAGAACUUCGAUUGAGUGAGAUUGGAUCUUGGUCCUGCGAGUUUGAAACAUAUCUGGCAUUUUAAAUUCAGUUGAAGACAUUUUUGCCUAACUUUUGGUUGAUCGAAACGGUCAGAACAGCAGAGAAAUCAGGUACGAACUUCUCUAUUGUUUCAGCAAUUAUAGGUCUCAUUUCCUAUGAAAUUAAACCAUAAUUAACAUCUACAAGUUGACAAAAACCUAGCAAAUUGUGAGAGCCAAACACUUGGCCUUUCUCUCUACUUUCUCUCUCUCACCAUAGUCAAAUACUUGAGAGGAGAUCAAUUCCUUCUAACCCAUCACUACCUUUGUUCCUUUGUGUAAUGAGGGUUGUUUGAAGCUUGGGAAUCAUUGGAGCUGCUACGUAUUCAACCAAGGAGACUUAAAGAUUGCAAUUGGAGCUCAAUUGUGGAUCUAACAACUAGAUUAAAGAAAAGACUUGGUAAAGUUAGUUGAUAGUAGGAGCUUGGAUGACAUGAGUAUAUAGAUAGCACUAGGCUUGGAGGGUUUUGUGCAUAUCUUGUACUGCAACUAUUCAUUAGAGUAGACCAUUUUGGUAAUUGUGCUGCAGAGGGUUUUUUCCACCCGUUUUUUGGGUUUUCCUCAUCAAUAACACAUCUAGUGUUAUUUUUGCCUCUUUGGUAUUGUGAAUUUAAUUUUUGUGGUUUCUACAUUUCAUAGGCUCUAAUGUUUUUAUCCAUGUAAUUGUUGGUAUCCAUAUCAUUGGUUAAUCACGUAAACUUGGUGUUAAGCGAUAAA